rnacentral:lncRNA from 10 species
UCCCAACAAAAGAACAAAAAGAAAAAUCAAAAUGCUAGAAAUGAAAAUGCAUUUUUUAAGAUGAAAAGUACACUGGAUGGGAUUCACAGUAGAAAACCAUUACUAAACUUGAAGAUAUAGCAAUAGAAACUAUUCAAAAUUAAUCACAGAGUAAAAAGACUAGAAGUAUUGAACAGAGCAUCAGUGAACAACUUUAAGGAACCUAUUACGUAUGUAAUUGUAGCUGCUGAAUAGGGAACAAAUAACUCAUUUGAAGAAAUAAUGUCUGAAAAAUUUCUAAAUUUGAUUUUUAAAAAACCCAUAACCCCACAGAUUCAAAAUGUGCCAUAGACACCAAGCACAAGAAACAUUAAA